AGAGUUUGAUCAUGGCUCAGGAUGAACGCUGGCGGCGUGCCUAAUACAUGCAAGUCGAACGCGACACUUUCGGGUGUCGAGUGGCGGACGGGUGAGUAACACGUGGGUGACCUGCCCAUCAGCCUGGGAUAACCACCGGAAACGGUGGCUAAUACCGGAUAUGUCUACGGAUGAAAGUCGGGUUUUCUGACGCUGAUGGAUGGACCUGCGGCGCAUUAGCUAGUUGGUGAGGUAGUGGCUCACCAAGGCGACGAUGCGUAGCCGACCUGAGAGGGUGAUCGGCCGCACUGGGACUGAGACACGGCCCAGACUCCUACGGGAGGCAGCAGUAGGGAAUCUUCCGCAAUGGACGCAAGUCUGACGGAGCAACGCCGCGUGAGUGAAGAAGGUUUUCGGAUCGUAAAGCCCUGUUGUUAAGGAAGAACGUUCAUGGUAGUAACUGGCCAUGGAGUGACGGUACUUAACCAGAAAGCCACGGCUAACUACGUGCCAGCAGCCGCGGUAAUACGUAGGUGGCAAGCGUUAUCCGGAAUUAUUGGGCGUAAAGCGCGCGUAGGCGGCAAGAAAAGUCUGAUGUGAAAGCCCCCGGCUCAACCGGGGAGGGUCAUUGGAAACUGUUUUGCUUGAGUACAGAAGAGGAGAGUGGAAUUCCAUGUGUAGCGGUGAAAUGCGCAGAGAUAUGGAGGAACACCAGUGGCGAAGGCGGCUCUCUGGUCUGUAACUGACGCUGAUGUGCGAAAGCGUGGGGAUCAAACAGGAUUAGAUACCCUGGUAGUCC
rnacentral:rRNA from 1 species